UAUUUAUGAAAUAAAAGUGAUUUUAAAUGGGCCUUAGAAUUGAGAGGAGCCCAUAUUGAUACAGUUCUUCUUCGUCUUCUUCCUUCUUAUCCAAACGCCAUACUUACCUUACUUCAAUUCAAACCAGAGAGAUAACCAACAACAACAACCACUCUCUUCUCAUUACCAACCUCAACAAUGGCUGCUUCGACCACUCUCGGAGUCUUUUCUGGAAACACUUCCACUCGAAUUCCCUUCCCAAAAGUGGACUCAUCAUCAUCCAUUAGAGUUUCUCUAAAGACCAAUGCUUGCGCUGUUUCCGACCUUGGGUUCGUCACUUCGCAGCUCAGUGGACUCAAAAUCUCUAAAGUUGUCUCCUUUCAUCUUCACCAAAUUCUCUCCUGCUCUUCAACCUGUUGCUCGUACGGUUUUCUCCUUUCUUUGUUUCACUUUCUUGUUCUUCAGCUCUUGUUUUUUCCGACAAAGAAUUUCUGGGUUAUGUUUAAUUGAACUAAAAUUUGGGUAUUCUUUAAAUGCCUAAAAUUUAUUGCUAUUUUCCUCUUUUCUGUUUUUUCCCUAACUUUCCCGGGAACCAAACAGAAAACUUUUGUUAUAAUGCUGUAUAAUUUUAUUUAUCCUGUUAAAUAAUUCCUUUUGAACCAAUUAGCUUAAUGUAGCUCUUUCUGAAAAUUAUAUAUAGGAUAAAUUUCCAUCCAUCAUGAUCAAUUUUAUCCACAAAAUAUACUUUGUAUAUAUAAAUAUAUAUAUUUUUAAUUGAAGGGUCUUAUAUCCAAGGAUGUGUUUAUCAAUCCUACUUUAUCUUGUUGCAUUUGGUAUGGUUGGAGAAACUUUUUAGAGAAUAAAUUUGCUGUUUUUGUGGAAAGGACUCUCUCAAUAAGUUUUUCAUGGUGUGACUUCUUGUAACUUCAGAAAGUUUGGUCCUUGAAUUUAAAGUCCAGUAUGUUAAAAUGGGUGAGAAUUGUUUAAUUCAUUUUGUGUUGGAAAAUAAGACUUUAAAACAAACUAUUUAAUAAUAGAGUAUUAGGCUAAAAAAAAAUAGAAAAUUCAAUAAAAGAUUUGUAAGAAAAUAAGAGUCUCUUAUCAAGAAGACGCUUUGUCAGGAAAAUGUUUAACAAAAAGUACAAAAGGAUGAUAAUUUUUAUAUAAGUUGUUAUGUGCACUUCCGUAAAAAUAUAUAAAAAAAACUACUUUUAAAUAUAAAAAAAUUAAAAAAAUAUUACCAAACUAAGAAAGUAAAAAACAUGAUCAAAUAAAUAAAAUUGAUUUUUAAAUUUUUAGUUCACGCUUUUAUUUAAUAUUUAUUUCAUGAUUCUCUUUUAAAUUUAUAACUACAAACUUGUUUUUUAUUUUAUAUCCCGAUUACAAAUCAAAUCAAUCCAAUCUAUAUCCAAAAUUUUGUCAAGAAGUACAUAUAAAAUUAUAUACUUUUCAGCAUUUGCUCAAAAUAUACAGAUUAGACAUGCCAAUCAAGUCAGUGCUUUAGUUUUUUUUAAGACUUUGUGUAUUGUAGAAACAUUCAAAGAGGACUAACUGUUUCAUCUUUAUCCCCACAUAAUAAACAUAUCUUGUUAAUAUUUGUGUCAAACUUGGAGAUCAAUUUCCUAAUUCUAAGAUUCUGUAAAAUUAUCAGCCACAAGAUAAAUAUGUGCUUUAUAGAACUUGGCGUUUGGUUGAAGGUAAUGAAAUAGAAUGGAAAGGAAAGGAAACAAUCUUCAUUCUAUUCCUUUGUUUGGUUGCAUAUUAAUGUGUUGGAAUGACAUUCCAAUGGAAUGGUCUUUCCACCAUUUUGGUGGAAUGACUAUUCCAUUUUAAAAUGGAAGGAAAGACUAUUUCAAUGCAUGAUGAGAAAAAAUUUAAUAAUUUUUUUUAUCAAUUAUUUUUAUGUAUUUUAAAUUUUAUUCUAUUCCAUUCCUAUUCCUAUUCACAUUUCCAUUUCCAUUCCUAUGUUUUCAUUCCUUCCAACCAAACGCUAGUGUAGUCCAAACUUCAUUGUUUCAUCUCACAUUUUCUCUGUUUUUAGAAAGAGAAUGCUAUGGCCAACCUUGAUACUAUAUGACUCAGUUGCGAAGCUUGAUAUAUCCACUUUAUCUAUGAAUAAAUUUUUAACUGCUAACAUUCUUUUCUAGUACCAGCUACUCUCAAUCGAAGCAAGGGGGGCUUGUCUUCGAAUCUAAGGGAGAAUCUUGGUUGGUUAAUCAAGAUCUAAAGGAAGAUGAGCAUCACUAAUAAAAGAAGAAUCAUCACAAUUGAAGGGAAUGGGGCAUCAUAGGAAGACGACGAUUAAGAUGAUACUGGCGAUGAAGCAUUUAAUUACAUAUAGCUCAUGUCUACCUGCAACUUCUCAUAUAGAUAAAGUAAUUGAAUGUAUCUCCUCUUGUAUUCCUUCUCAAGUUUCAUAACAAUAUUACUACUUAAAAACUUUCUCAUAUAUUCCUUGCAACAAUCUUUGCACGUGCAAAGAAUUUGUUGAUCGGUGCCGUAAAUUACACUUGAGUCGUCAAAUUUAAGCAUAUAAGCUUGGUUGCACCCUCGAAAUAAUCUACUUCCAUAUGAAUCAAUAAUAUAACAAACAUGAAGUUCUAGUUUUAAGACGAAGAAGUGAUCGUUCCAGCCCACAACGAAAAUUUUUAGCUCUGUUGUUAAAUCCUUAGUUAUGGUCUCCCACAUAUUGUCUAAAGAGAACAUAUCCUUCAAUAAGUCGAAUUUUUCAACCCCGAACAUCCCCGUAACUGAUAUAUCUGUGCAAAUAGAGACUGGUCUGAUACUAGCAUUUAUCACAGUCUCUAUAUCAAAGUGAUUAUUAGAAAAUUUGUUCUGGUAAUAAGAGGAUUCGUUGCUGAGUGCUCGCUACUCAGAAGAGCCUUAGAGGAUUAGAGAUUCAAAUUGUACCCUUGUGGGAAUUAAUUUUGGGUUGCAGUGAAGCCAGUGUGCAAUGAUUCUUACAAAAUUUAUUAAGGUAUGUUAUUACUUUUUAUAAGUGAAUUAAAAAACUAGCUAUCAAUUAAAAUUAAAUAAAUAUGUUAAUACUUUUUAUAAGUGAAAAUAAAGUUCAUUGAUCCACACAUUAGUUAUGUGGGAUACUAAAUACUUUAACAAAUCAAAAAGUAAUUUUACAAUGAAGAAUUAAAUAAGAAAUGUUUACUAUGAAGCAGAAAGGCAUAUAAAAUUCUUGUAUUACAAUUCAACAUGAUUUUAUGCAUUGUUUACAAUACUUUACAGCUGAAUCACAGUAAACCCUUAACCUUUACUGCUUGUAUGUAAUAUAGCCUUAAGACUUAGUUAUUAAUCAAGUCUUAUCAAACUUAACUUAUUUAUAAUGAUGAGGUAAAUUGCUUUUGGGAUUAAUUUACGUAUGUUUAGAAUACAUUAAAAAAAUCUUACUUUUAGUCACAAUAAAACUUGUGAUUAAAAGUGAAAAUAAUUGUAACUAAUUAUAAAUUAUAAUACUUAUGUUGUGACUAAAAGGUCUGUGACUAAAAAUAUUAGUCACUAAAAUUACAAUUUAUUGUGACUAGAUGUAUUUUUAGUCACAAUACUUGUUGUGACUAAAACUAAAUUAGUGACAACUUGUAACUAAAUACUAUAUUUUAGUCAAAAGUAACAUUUUGUUGUGACUAAAAGUCACAAUUAUUCACAUAAAAAUUAUAUUGUGACUAAAAAGUUGUCACUAAAAGUAACAAUUUUUUAUAAUGA